UACAGAGGGUGCGAGCGUUAAUCGGAAUUACUGGGCGUAAAGCGCGCGUAGGCGGCUUUGCAAGUCGAGUGUGAAAUCCCCAGGCUUAACCUGGGAACUGCAUUCGAGACUGCAUGGCUAGAGUAUGGGAGAGGGAAGUGGAAUUUCAGGUGUAGCGGUGAAAUGCGUAGAUAUCUGAAGGAACAUCAGUGGCGAGAGCGACUUCCUGGACCAAUACUGACGCUCAUGUGCGAAAGCGUGGGGAGCAAACAGG
rnacentral:rRNA from 1 species